rfam:Clostridium formicaceticum strain ATCC 27076, complete genome.
UUAAAAGAAAAACAUAUGGUUCAUAUAAUCGCAGAAAUAUGGUCUGCAAGUUUCUACGAGGCUACCGUAAAUGGUCUCACUAUGAGCAAAGGUGUAUCUAAG